rnacentral:lncRNA from 1 species
AAGAACUUGGUCAACAGGAUGCUGACAUGUGGCUCAGAGUGAUUCAAAGGUGAGACUCAGGAUUUGGAAGGCAAAACAAACAAGCAAACAAACAAAAAGAGGGUUGAUUUUGGUACUCUGUGAAUGAUGCCAAAGUGAAAAAGAGAAAUAAAGGUCAGAGAGGGAGAGGCUGGUCAUGGAUGAGUGUUUAUUGAUGUGCCUGGGGCCAUCUUCUAUAACUCCUUAUGUCCGGAUAACACCACGGUAGACUGGAGGUCAUUAGGACCCCUCUGCUAAUGAGGAGAACGGUGCUGAGCAACUUGCCCAACUUUUGUGCUGCUUGAAAAUGAUAGAAUGAGAGAACUGUAAGCCCAGACUCCAUCCAAAGCUGAAGCCCUCACCUGCCAAUGAUCAGCAGAAGGCAGCUUGUCCCUUGUAUGUCUCGGUCAUCCCUCUCCUGACAGCUUGCUUUCUCACAAGGGUGUGCUCCUGCUCCCAGAUCCAUACGCAUGCCUAUAAUGACAUGGAAGGAAGAAAGGAAGGCCUCCACAAAAGCCGUAGAAGCACACAGCGGAAGCUGCUUUUGUUGUACACAGGCAAGUGAUUCCUUUACAAAAAGUGAUAACGCAGAAACCCAAGAUCUGAGAUUUCCUAGAGCUGUGGGCUUGGGGAAGAGCCAGGGAAGGCACCAC